GAUGAACGCUAGCUACAGGCUUAACACAUGCAAGUCGCGGGGCAGCAUGGGGGUUGCUUGCAAUCCCCGAUGGCGACCGGCGCACGGGUGAGUAACGCGUAUUCAACCUGCCCUUCACCACGGGAUAACCCGGCGAAAGUCGUACUAAUACCGUAUGUUGUCUCUUUACGGCAUCCGAUUUUGUUUCAAGGCUUGGGGGUGUUGGAUGUGGUUGCGUUCGUUUAUUCUGACGGCGGGCUUACCGCCGCCCGGGGGGACGAUCGGUAGGGGUUCUGAGAGGAAGGUCCCCCACACUGGAACUGAGACACGGUCCAGACUCCUACGGGAGGCAGCAGUGAGGAAUAUUGGUCAAUGGGAGUAAGCCUGAACCAGCCAAGUAGCGUGCAGGAAGGCGGCGCUAUGGGUUGUAAACUGCUUUUAUGCGGGGAUAAAGUGGCCCACGUGUGGGCUAUUGCAGGUACCGCAUGAAUAAGGACCGGCUAAUUCCGUG
rnacentral:rRNA from 1 species